UGGAAAAAUAUAUUUGAUUUUUUUAUAUAAUAGGUUAAAUUCAAAUAUUUAAAACCUACCUAACUCAAUAAUUUUUUGAAGCCAAGAGAUCAAGUACAACUAACUUUUUUUUUUCUUUUUUUUACCAAAAUAUAUAUAUAUAUAUAUAUAUAUAUAUAUAUAUAUAUAUAUUUAUGUAUAGUGUGAGAUAGUUCACUCACACUACACUCAUUUCAAGGACCAACUCCCUUUAUAAUAUUUAUGUGCAAAGGAAACUUAUGGAUUGAAUUUAUUCUCUCUAAGUCCUUUAUUAAUCUUCUCCCCCACUUUAGAGAGUUGUUCCCUAAAGGCUAUAGGUGAAAAAUAGGGAAUAGGUCAAGAGCAUGCAUUUAUAAGGAUUCGUGAUUGGAGGUUGGUAGCUUUAAAACUCAUAUAUGUGUGAACAUAUCUUUGGAAUCGAAACGUGUUUGUGACCUCCUUGAUUUUGAGGUUGUCAAUUUGGAGGUCACAAUUGACGGCCUUUAGUUUGAGGCUAAAGUUGUAGAGGUCGGUGUGGAAGCUUAAGGUUGAGUGAAGAUCUUCUUUCAAAAAACCAUCAAGAAUAUCAUCCCCACCAUAUGUAGCAUUUCCAAGAGAGAGGGAUUGUUGGAGCCCAAUCAACUAUUGGAAUGGAACAUGGAAGGAGCUUUUUGGUUCGAAGCGGGAGUCCACAACCAUUCUUGUGUGGGACUGCGAUACUACUGAAAUGUGGUGAAUUUUUGUGCUUCUAGUCCUGAUGAAGCUUUAAUGAGAAAUGUUUUGUCACACAUCAAGGAGUUCUUGCUAUUGAGGCUCCUUGGUUGUCUAAAGCCGCGAACCAGAAUUAAUUGGGUGGUUCGUGACUCCAUUGAAUCUCUUGUUCUUAUUGGGUGUGAGCUAGUGAGUUCGGAUUGGAGCAUUAACAAUGUGCAACGAAGAGUUCGUAAUCCAAAGCAAUGAGAAUUACAUAAAGAAUAGGAAAUCAUCAAGGGUAAGUUUUUCUUUCCUAAUUUCUCCUAAUUAGAAAAACAUACUUCGGUUUAAUUUGUUGCUUAUCCUAAAUAGUCAAACACCAAAUAUUUAAUUCCCGUUCCACAACUUGAUAUCUUGAAAUAAACAACAACUAAGUAUUUCUCUUCAAAUUUUCUUACUAUAACACAAUCAAAAUCAAAGUUUUUUUUCCAUAAUAAAAAUCCAUUUUUAGCAUUUACCGUAGUUCUGUCUCUCCCUGCUUAAUUUAAUUUAGUUAUAAUCUUGUAUUUUUGUCACCGUGAACUCUAGCAAAAUAAAAUUAAUAAAGAGGAGGGUUAGGAAUGGGCAAGAUUGUGAGUGAUACAAUUAUAAAAGUAAAUUUGUGGAGCUCAAGCAUUCUUUCGACUUAGAUCUAGAAGAUAAAAUAUAUAUACGGAGUUGUAAGACUAAUCCGACAACCCGAAUAACUUGAACUACUCAACCCAUAUAAUAAGGGUUGGAUUGUGUUGAGUUGAUUUUUCUUUCUAGAUGAGAUUGGAUCUCAGGUUAGGGUUAAAAAAUUCGCGCAA